UUGACCUCGGAUCAGGUAGGGAUACCCGCUGAACUUAAGCAUAUCAAUAAGCGGAGGAAAAGAAACCAACUGGGAUUGCCUUAGUAACGGCGAGUGAAGCGGCAAUAGCUCAAAUUUGAAAGCUGGCGCCUUCGGCGUCCGCGUUGUAAUUUGUAGAGGAUGCUUCGGCGAGGACUCCUGCCUAAGUUCCCUGGAAUGGGACGUCACAGAGGGUGAGAAUCCCGUAUGUGGCGGGCGGUCCAAGCCAUGUGAAGCUCCUUCGACGAGUCGAGUUGUUUGGGAAUGCAGCUCUAAAUGGGAGGUAAAUUUCUUCUAAAGCUAAAUACCGGCCAGAGACCGAUAGCGCACAAGUAGAGUGAUCGAAAGAUGAAAAGCACUUUGGAAAGAGAGUUAAAAAGUACGUGAAAUUGUUGAAAGGGAAGCGCUUGCAACCAGACUCGCUCGCAGUUGCUCAGCCCGCCUCCUGGCGGGUGUACUCUUCUGUGAUCGGGCCAGCAUCAGUUCGGGCGGCCGGAUAAAGGUGUCGGGAAUGUAGCACCCUUCGGGGUGUGUUAUAGCCCGGCGCGGAAUGCGGCCAGCCUGGACUGAGGAUCUCGCUUCGGCAAGGAUGCUGGCGUAAUGGUUGUAAGCGGCCCGUCUUGA
rnacentral:rRNA from 1 species